rnacentral:rRNA from 1 species
AUUGAACGCUGGCGGCAGGCCUAACACAUGCAAGUCGAACGAGUGGCGGACGGGUGAGUACUGUCUGGGAAACUGCCCGAUGGAGGGGGAUAACUACUGGAAACGGUAGCUACUACCGCGUACCCUCGGAUGUGCCCAGGUGGGAUUAGUUUGUAGGUGAGUGAACGGCUCACCUAGGCGACGAUCCCUAGCUGGUCUGAGAGGAUGAACAGCCAAACGGGAACUGAGACACGGGCCAAACUCUAACGGGAGGCAGUAGGGGGGAAUAUUGCACAAUGGGCGCAAGCCUGAUGCGGCCAUGCCGCGUGUAUGAAGAAGGCCUUCGGGUUGUAAAGUACUUUCAGCGGGGAGGCGUUACCCGCAGAAGAAGCACCGGCUAACUCCGUGCCAGCAGCCGCGGUAAUUC